rnacentral:tRNA from 1 species
UGGAUUGUAGCUCAGUGGUAGAGUGCUUGCCUCACAUGCAUGUGCCCUGAGUUCAAUCCUCAGCACCAU